CAUAUUUUUAGAUUAAAAAAAAAAACACAUUGGAAAAGUAGCAGGAAUAACCAAGAAGCAGAAUUGGUGUAUGUGUGUAUUGAAUGAGAUCCCAAAAUUUAUUCAGCUCAGCCUGCAAAUGUUUUUUGCACUCCUUGGAGAAAAAACAUGGAUGACAGGCGAUUCAGAAAAUUUCUAGUUCCCCACAAAGUCAUUCUCACUGGCUCUACGUUGCUUCCUUCCAAUUCGUGUCCCUGUCUAGGGCGGACUGGGAGGCACAGCCUCAAGAAAGGACGUCUGCGUUCCCUGCGCACAGCCUCCGUGUGUCCUACCAAGCUCAGAGGUCCCCAUAGUUCUGCUGUACAUAUAAAGAAGGGUCAAUGCGUGCAAGAUCUUGCAAAGAGUGAAGACCGAUAGAACAGGGAUGGGCCAUCGCUUCAGUAGAAGAACCCUGAUUUAUAUACAGAAGGUCUCAGGUUCGAUUCCUGGCAUCUCCAGUUGGGAACGGUCCAGUAGCAGAACUUAGAAAAGGCCCUUUCUGUCGAAAACAGUGGAGUGGCAUGGAAUACAUGGACAAAGAGUCGGACCUGGAUUUUGCAAGGCAUCCAAACGGCGUCCUCUGCUCAUAACUCUCCCGUGUUUUCCUGCACAGAAAAAUCAGUUGAGGAGGAAAAAGACGGAAGAGUUGCGACAGGACCCUGCUGUCUGGAAAUGCCCACCGAGGCCUCCCAGGGCUAACCAGCCAAAAGGCAGCGCUUCUGUCUUUUCCUCCUUCGGGGAUUUUUUUUCCUGAGAAGAUAAAAGAUGUAAGAAGCUGUGUGAAUUAAAUGUGGAAAGGUUACCAGUGGCAAGACUUGCACCCUCAUCCUGCGAAUGAAGCCGGGAAACGGCCUGCUGACUGCCUCAUCUGUCUCACACACAGACUGUGGGAUCCGGGUACAUUUUGAAGCACAGGGGAUCAACAUGGCUGCACCCCAAAGCCCUGCCCUAAGGAAGGCCUCAAAACCCAGGCAGCUAAGUUGACUGAUAUCUCCACGAGGAGCAUCAUUAUUAUUAUUAUUAUUAUUAUUAUUAUUAUUAUUAUUAUUAUUAUUAUUAUUAUUCACUGUAACACUGUAAGGACGGCUAGUGGGGCCGUUUGGCAGUGAUGCAUGAUGGGUCCUGGAGUCAGGUCAAGAUGCUGAGACUGCAAUGCUGCCUAGCUGCAAGAGGCAGAGUGUCAAUGGGGCUGAGGAGAUUUCGGAGCAGACCACAGACACUGAGGUGGCAGGGUUCACUAUCUGAGCAGGAAACGGCCAUCCCAACACUUUUGCCAGAUUCCUGGCCAUUGGCAAGCAGGGAUACCUUCCCCAGAAGCCCAAGAACAUCAGAAGGGCCCUGAGGCUGGAUCAGACCAAGGGUCCAUCUAGUCCAGCACUCUGUUCCCACAGGGACCAAGGCGCAGAGCCCACCUGUGGCUGUGCAACUCUCGCCUUAUUCACCAGGGACACCUUCUCCAAAGGCCCAGUGCCUGAGAAGCAAAGGCCUUCUGUAGCAUUACACGGGAACCCGGCAAGUUCCCAGGUGAUUUUCCCACAUGAGGCCAAGUCCCAGUGUAACAGGACGGUCAUCGCAGACAUUUGGGGAUGAAAGUACACCGGGAGCUGACCCCGUUGGGUUCCUAGCAUUAUGAGAGGGGGGGGGGAAAUCUCUCCUCAUCCACACUACACAAACUUUUGCACUUCUCUCCCCUUUUCUUGGCUUUUCUCUUAGCUAAAUAGUCCCAGCUGUUGUAACCUUUCCUCAUAGGGGCAUUGCUCCAGCCCCUUGAUCAUUUUAGGCCACAAUUUGACAGAAAGAAGCCCUACAACAUUUAUAUCUGGACUUCUUCCCUCUUGCAAGAGGCCCUAACACAGCUUUCAUCGUCCCUCCCCUUCCUCUCCAUUUCACCCUCACUACAACCUGGAUUUCCCAAGUCCUAUAGCCACUGCACCACACUGGCUUUCCAGAAAGCUACUGCGUCUUAAUUGCCCAUUCAAGAUGAAGUCAGCCCAAGAUACUUUGCAUCGCAACAGGGGCAGCUGGCAGCGACAUAUCAUUGCUGGGAAA